rnacentral:rRNA from 1 species
GACGAACGCUGGCGGCGUGCUUAACACAUGCAAGUCGACGGAAAGGCCCUGCUUUUGUGGGGUGCUCGAGUGGCGAACGGGUGAGUAACACGUGAGUAACCUGCCCUUGACUUUGGGGAUAACUUCAGGAAAACUGGGGGCUAAUACCGGAUAGGAGCUCCUGCUGCAUGUGGGGUUGGAAAGUUUCGGCGGUUGGGGAUGGACUCGCGGCUUAUCAGCUUGUUGGUGGGGUAGUGGCUUACCAAGGCUUUGACGGGUAGCCGGCCUGAGAGGGUGACCGGCCACAUUGGGACUGAGAUACGGCCCAGACUCCUACGGGAGGCAGCAGUGGGGAAUAUUGCACAAUGGGCGGAAGCCUGAUGCAGCAACGCCGCGUGCGGGAUGACGGCCUUCGGGUUGUAAACCGCUUUCGCCUGUGACGAAGCGUGAGUGACGGUAAUGGGUAAAGAAGCACCGGCUAACUACGUG